rfam:Oryza glumipatula chromosome 4, whole genome shotgun sequence.
AAUAAAUGCAGUUUUAGCACUAUUCAUGUUUAACGUUUAACCGUUCAUCUUAUUUGAAAAAAAAUUAUGAUUAGUAUUUUUAUUGUUAUUACAUGAUAAAAUAUGAGUAGUACUUUAUGUGUGACUAAUUUUUUUUAAUUUUUUCAUAAAUUUUUCAAAUAAGACGAACGAUCAAAACGCUAAACACGGAUAUCUAUGGCUGCACUUAUU